rnacentral:rRNA from 1 species
AUUGAACGCUGCGGCAGGCUUAACACAUGCAAGUCGAGCGAGCGGCGGACGGGUGAGUAAUGCUUAGGAAUCUGCCUAUUAGUGGUGGACAACAUCUCGAAAGGGAUGCUAAUACCGCAUACUAAUAGAUUAGCCUAAGUCGGAUUAGCUAGUUGGGGGGGUAAAGGCCUAACAAGGCGACGAUCUGUAUCGGGGCUGAGAGGAAGAUCCGCCACACUGGGACUGAGACAAGGGCCAGACUCCUAAGGGAGGCAGCAGUGGGGAAUAUUGGAAAAUGGGGGGAACCCUGAUCCAGCCAUGCCGGGGGUGUGAAGAAGGCCUUAUGGUUGUAAAGCAAGUUAAGCGAGGAGGCGUUACUCGCAGAAUAAGCACCGGCUAACUCUGUGCCAGCAGCCGCGGUAAUAC